GAUGAACGCUGGCGGCGUGCCUAAUACAUGCAAGUCGAGCGAACGGACGAGAAGCUUGCUUUUCUGAUGUUAGCGGCGGACGGGUGAGUAACACGUGGAUAACCUACCUAUAAGACUGGGAUAACUUCGCGAAACCGGAGCUAAUACCGGAUAAUAUUUUGAACCGCAUGGUUCAAAAGUGAAAGACGGUCUUGCUGUCACUUAUAGAUGGAUCCGCGCUGCAUUAGCUAGUUGGUAAGGUAACGGCUUACCAAGGCAACGAUGCAUAGCCGACCUGAGAGGGUGAUCGGCCACACUGGAACUGAGACACGGUCCAGACUCCUACGGGAGGCAGCAGUAGGGAAUCUUCCGCAAUGGGCGAAAGCCUGACGGAGCAACGCCGCGUGAGUGAUGAAGGUCUUCGGAUCGUAAAACUCUGUUAUUAGGGAAGAACAUAUGUGUAAGUAACUGUGCACAUCUUGACGGUACCUAAUCAGAAAGCCACGGCUAACUACGUG
rnacentral:rRNA from 1 species